GACGAACGCUGGCGGCGUGCUUAACACAUGCAAGUCGAACGGAAAGGCUCCAGCUUGCUGGAGUGCUCGAGUGGCGAACGGGUGAGUAACACGUGGGCAAUCUGCCCUGCACUCUGGGAUAAGCCUGGGAAACUGGGUCUAAUACCGGAUAGGACCUUUCUCCUCAUGGGGUUUGGUGGAAAGUUUUUCGGUGCAGGAUGAGCCCGCGGCCUAUCAGCUUGUUGGUGGGGUAAUGGCCUACCAAGGCGACGACGGGUAGCCGGCCUGAGAGGGUGAUCGGCCACAUUGGGACUGAGAUACGGCCCAGACUCCUACGGGAGGCAGCAGUGGGGAAUAUUGCACAAUGGGCGAAAGCCUGAUGCAGCGACGCCGCGUGAGGGAUGACGACCUUCGGGUUGUAAACCUCUUUCAGUAGGGACGAAGCGCAAGUGACGGUACCUGCAGAAGAAGCACCGGCUAACUACGUG
rnacentral:rRNA from 1 species